rnacentral:rRNA from 1 species
GACGAACGCUGGCGGCGUGCCUAAUACAUGCAAGUAGAACGCUGAAGGAGGAGCUUGCUUCUCUGGAUGAGUUGCGAACGGGUGAGUAACGCGUAGGUAACCUGCCUGGUAGCGGGGGAUGACUAUUGGAAACGAUAGCUAAUACCGCAUAAUAGUAGAUGUUGCAUGACAUUUGCUUAAAAGGUGCAAUUGCAUCACUACCAGAUGGACCUGCGUUGUAUUAGCUAGUUGGUGGGGUAACGGCUCACCAAGGCGACGAUACAUAGCCGACCUGAGAGGGGGAUCGGCCACACUGGGACUGAGACACGGCCCAGACUCCUACGGGAGGCAGCAGUAGGGAAUCUUCGGCAAUGGACGGAAGUCUGACCGAGCAACGCCGCGUGAGUGAAGAAGGUUUUCGGAUCGUAAAGCUCUGUUGUAAGAGAAGAACGAGUGUGAGAGUGGAAAGUUCACACUGUGACGGUAUCUUACCAGAAAGGGACGGCUAACUACGUG